rnacentral:rRNA from 1 species
UACGUAGGGCGCAAGCGUUGUCCGGAAUUAUUGGGCGUAAAGAGCUUGUAGGUGGUUUGUCGCGUCUGCUGUGAAAAUCCGAGGCUCAACCUCGGACUUGCAGUGGGUACGGGCAGACUAGAGUGUGGUAGGGGAGACUGGAAUUCCUGGUGUAGCGGUGGAAGUGCGCAGAUAUCAGGAGGAACACCGAUGGCGAAGGCAGGUCUCUGGGCCGAUUACUGACACUGGAGAAGCGAAAGCAUGGGGGAGCG